UACGUAGGUGGCAAGCGUUGUCCGGAUUUACUGGGUGUAAAGGGCGUGUAGGCGGGAGAGCAAGUCAGGCGUGAAAACUAUGGGCUUAACCCAUAGCCUGCGUUUGAAACUGUUUUUCUUGAGUACUGGAGAGGUUGACGGAAUUCCUUGUGUAGCGGUGAAAUGCGUAGAUAUAAGGAGGAACACCAGUGGCGAAGGCGGUCAACUGGACAGCAACUGACGCUGAGGCGCGAAAGCGUGGGGAGCAAACAGG
rnacentral:rRNA from 1 species